rnacentral:rRNA from 1 species
CAGCCGCCGCGGUAAUACGUAGGGUGCGAGCCUUAAUCGGAUUUACUGGGCGUAAAGCGUGCGCAGGCGGCCCGUUAAGACAGGUGUGAAAUCCCUGGGCUCAACCUAGGAAUUGCGCUUGUGACUGGCGGGCUCGAGUACGGUAGAGGGGGGUGGAAUUCCUGGUGUAGCAGUGAAAUGCGUAGAGAUCAGGAGGAACACCGAUGGCGAAGGCAGCCCCCUGGGCCUGUACUGACGCUCAUGCACGAAAGCGUGGGGAGCAAACAGGAUUAGAUGCCCUGGUAGUCCACGCCCUAAACGAUGGGUACUAGCCGUUUGGUGCGCGAUAGCGCUGAGUGGCGAAGCUAACGCGUGAAGUACCCCGCCUGGGGAGUACGGCCGCAAGGUUGAAACUUAAAGGAAUUGGCGGG